rnacentral:rRNA from 1 species
GACGAACGCUGGCGGCGUGCUUAACACAUGCAAGUCGAACGGAAAGGCCCUGCUUUUGUGGGGUGCUCGAGUGGCGAACGGGUGAGUAACACGUGAGUAACCUGCCCUUGACUUUGGGAUAACUUCAGGAAACUGGGGCUAAUACCGGAUAGGAGCUCCUGCUGCAUGGUGGGGGUUGGAAAGUUUCGGCGGUUGGGGAUGGACUCGCGGCUUAUCAGCUUGUUGGUGGGGUAGUGGCUUACCAAGGCUUUGACGGGUAGCCGGCCUGGGAGGGCGACCGGCCACAUUGGGACGGGGAUACGGCCAGGACUCAUACGGGAGGCAGCAGUGGGGAUUUUGGCACAAUGGGCGGAGGCAGGAGGCAGCAACGCCGCGUGCGGGAGGACGGCCUUCGGGUUGUAAACCGCUUUCGCCUGUGACGAAGCGUGGGUGAGGGUAAUGGGUAAGAAGCACCGGCUAACUACGUG